UAGAGGGCAGCGGAUUGUGGAAGGACGGGCGACGGACGGCGGGUGGUGGCCGCACGAGGAAGAGAGAUGGCCACGUCCAGAGACAUUGUUCUGUCUGAAGAGGGCGGCAAGACUCCCUGGCAAUCAGAGAAACUUCCUGGAAGAGGUGGCAUUAAAGCAGAGACAAGCAGGAUGAGGUCACAGCUGUAGCCACAGCGUGGAGGUGGGACUGAAGGUGGCAGAACAGGACGAGUUGGGGCAGGUGGGCCGUGAGACCCUGAAGGGGGCAUCCUUGCCGGUGGCUGACGUGGGUCCAGAUAUCAGAGGGUGACCUGGAUAGGAGCCCAUGCUGAGGCAGGAGACAGGCACCAGCCCUGCCUGGCCCAGCGUUGCCAGGAGUCCCUGCCACCUCAGGAGUGCAGACACGAUACGAGGAGCGGCUGAACCCUGGCACAGGUGCCCUGUGUUCACAGAAGGCCCCAAGCUGCACGCACAGGUGCCCUGGGUACCCCGGUACACAUGUGGGCACACACUUCGGUCAGGAGCUCUGUGGGAAGUAGCAGAAGGGCAAAGUCCAAAAGUGAGUUUCUGCCAGUAAUCAGGAAAUGCCAUGAAGCGGCUGCUUCAGGCAAGGUUGGAUCCAGGGGCUCUCCAAGCUCUCAGUCUCUGUGUCUGUCUGCGGGUCUCAGUCUCACUCUGUUUCGGCUUGGCUGCCCUGGCUGUUGGUUUCCCUCUAUGCACAACCUUCCCGUGGCAGGAAAGUGGCCCCCAGGACAGCUGGACCCCACACCUCUCUGACUAUGCCGCUGGGCAUGGCUUAGUGAGGUCUCUGAUUGGUUCCUGUUUCCAACUGUGCCCCAAUCACAUGGUGCAGGGUUGCUGUGCUCCGACUGGCCAUCUCAGCCCCCACCUAGUGUGAGGGCAUUGUGAGUGACAGCCCUGCUCCCCCGCCCCAGGGUGGGGGGACAGAUCCCCUGUGGUCCCCACCCAGACUUGCAGAACCUUGGGGAUCACCCCUUUCCACUGUCCUGCCCCCCUACCUUCUCUACAGCUCUGUUUGGUGGAUCAGCCCAAGGACAGUCCCCAGCUCCUUCCCCCUCACCUUUGUCCCUGAUUUGCUGUGUGACCUCAGGGCUCCUCCUGUCCCUCCGGUCUCCGCAUGAAGUCACCUCUGCGGACAGGCCGUCUCCUCCCCACUGCAGCAUCCUCCGCGAAGUGCCCCCGGGGCCCACACGGUACCGUGGGAGCACAGGAGCUGCUCCUGGGAGGAAGGGAUGGCCCACGCUCCUCCCAGGGCCGGCUGGUCACCCCCGGGCCCUGCAGUCCUGCACAGACCCCUGCCAGACUCUGGCCCUGGAGGACCCCUCACCCUCAACCCUGCCGAACUCCAGAUUUCUCUCGGCCUUCCGUUUGCGCCAGGGCUGUAGCAGGGGCUGGGGCGCGGCCUUCCCGGAUCUGCCGCUGGCCGGUGGGGAGGCAGGGGUGCAUGAAGGACACGCCGCAGCGAUCUGAGCAGGGCUCUGAGCAGCCAGAGCGUCGGGGACAAUGAGGGGGCAGGCCUCCGUGAGAAGGUGUGUGACCCUCCACCCCCCCAGCUGCCUGCGAGGGCCCAACAGACUAAGGUCACCACAGGGUGUGCCUCCUGCCAGGCUGGUGGCCACCACUGGCUCAGACCACAUGUCCCCCCCCCCCCCCCACAAGAGUGCUUUCACAGACUCCCUCGCAUGCUCUCCCCGCCAGGGUGCUGGCCUCUGGUCCUCAGACCCGGCUGCCAGCCCAGCCCCCUCAGUGCCCUAGGGGGCCUCUGAGCUCUGCUUUCCUCCAAGGCCAGCCCUGAGGUCCAGGGGUCCACUGGGGAGCAAGGCAGGGGCUCGUAGGCUUGGGGACAUUCAAAGCUGCCCCUGCGCCUCUAACUCCUUAUCCAGCCCCCGAGGAACAUGCCGGAAGCCUCCGGGCAGCCCCGCGGCACUUACAGGUCCCAGCCGGCCCUCCACGGUGCCCUUGGACCUCCUCCGCGGACUUCCGUUCUCCCAGUGGCGGUGGUGUUUUUCACGGAUCUCUUUGGUUCAGGAUUUAGCUUCUGCAGCUGUCCGUUUUCAGGAAACUGGAAACACUCGCUCUUCACGACAAGCAAGUGCAUCUCCAGGCCUUCGCCCGUCCGGCUCCGGUACCAUCCCUCGGAUCAGUGGGCAGGUCCAAGCACCAAGGUUUGGUCCUCGGCUCCUGUGGGAUGUCGCUGCCUCCGCGAGCAGGUCGAUACCAACAGUGGCAGAGCUGGCAGCGCGGGGAGGCCUGCACACGUUCCUGCACCCACCCUGGCUUGGCACGAGUUCCUAGCUGGCCCUGCAGAGGUCUUGGUUGGAGGGGUUCAGAACAGAGCGGCCCCACCCCAGCCCCCUGAGCUGAGGGAGGCAGCCCCCGGGUCACCAGGAACCGCCUGGUCCCUCCUCUCCUGGACCAAGCCUCCCAGGUCGCUGGGCGAGAGGGGCUGUCCCCAGUGCUGACUCGAGGACCAAAGCCAAGGCCGUGGGACGGUCUGACGUGCUCCUACACUGUCAGUCCUGGCUGAGGUCUGGGUUCAGGUGGGGGAGCUGCUCCGAGCACCCCAUUUCUCAUCACACCCGCCCCCUGCUGCUGGACAGUGGCCCAGAUCUGCGGCCGCCUCUGCCCAGUGUCCCCACUGGCACCUCGGGCCCAGGUGCAACCAGCAGGGGGUGCUCUUCUCCUGGGGUUUAUUGCCCAUUUCCCUUCCUGUAGAACUCCAAAAGUUUCCAAAAGGCUGAAAGCCAAGGAUCCAGUUCUGAAAUCCCAGCUGAGCCACCCCCUCCGAAGGAGCUGGAAAACCCCAAGCACAUGUGGCCUUGCAGCUGCUGCUUUAUGCCUCGGGCAUCCCAGCCCACAGAGCUGUCCACAACGUGUCCCCGGGCCGGGAGGUGGGUCAGGGCUGUCCUCGGGGCUCCCAUGGUGCCGCUCAGCGUCCCUGCUGUGGUUGCGACCCCGGUGGGAGCCCAAGGCUGAGCACCAGAGACACGGAUGGGGCGCAAGCCCUUCACCACAGGGUGGGGUGAACUGGGACCCUCCAGGCGGAGGGAGGCGGUGCGGGAACCUACAUUAGGAAGGGCCGGGGGGGGGGGAGGGCCCUGGACUCCCCACUGUGUGUGUCACCCUGGCUCUGAGGGCAUGGGGUGGGGAGGACUCCCCCCCCCCCCAGUUGAGGGACAGCAGGAACAGUGUGGCCAGAGAGCCUGUGUGGGACCCUGGAUGGGGCCACCUUCCUGCUGCCCAUAAUGCUAGUGGCGCAGUGGGGCGCAGUGGUGACAUGUGGGGGAGCAGGGCAGUGGGGGAGGGGCUGGGCGGUUCCCAGGGUCUUUGCACUGGUGCCGGAAAGCAGCUUCCACACGGAUAAUUUGGGGGUACCCACACGGGCUUACUGCCUCUGGGCCUGAUCCAUAGGACCACCUAGAGAAAUGCUGAGCUGGGAGGAGGUCCUUCUGGCCCUCCAACCCCAACACUCCUAUGAGCAGCUGCUAGAACUUGUCGCCUGGAGCCCCUACAAGCACCUGCGAAGAAAGGAGAGAUGCUGUCCUUCCAUGACAGAUGAGGAAACAGGCUCCAAGAGCACAAAGUCCCACAGCUGAUGAAGUGGUGGACCCGGGCCAGGGGACACCAGGUCUGGGGCCCCUCCACCAUUCCAGAUGCCGGGGCACCGGCCUGGCAGGAGAGUGAGGGCCACCUCCCCUGCUCUGGACCAGGCCACAGACUUGAGAGAGAGGCUGCCGGGCACCCCAGCCUCCGGGACUCACCGAGGUCAGAGCCACUGCCUCGCAGGGGAGGCCAGGAAGCCACGGGCAGGAAUGGCUCCACAGUCUGCAGGGUCUAGUGCAAACCAAGCAUACGAGACCCCUUCUGCACACGUUAAGAACUUGAAGAUGGUGACGGCAGAGGACUGAGCCAAGUGUGGGCCCUUCUGAGUGUGGGGCUGGAAGAGCAGAAAAACAGGACGUGAAUCACUGGUCACAAUCACUUGGAGUGUCAAGAUGGGGCCUCACAGCGAGCGGUUACUACAGACGGCAAUUUUUAAAACAGGCGGGUUAAAAUACAGAGUCAAAUGAGAGAU